rnacentral:lncRNA from 1 species
UGAGCGCUCGGCUGCCCGCGCUUGCCGUACCGAUGCCUGUGUUGUCCCAACUUGCCAGUUCGAUGCCUGUACCCGUGGCUUAAUUUUCUAUCAUCGGAGCUACUUAUGUGGUUCUAUAACUAGAUGCUGUUUUACCUUCAACUUGUGCUGUUGUACCUUCAUAUUUGGACUUUUUAAGCCUUGUGUCGGACGCCUUUGGCAUUGAAAUAUGAGAGAUUUUGAAGACUAUCUCUGAAGUUAUGUGGUUCUAUAUCUAGAUGUUGUUUCAGCUUGUUACUUGUG